rnacentral:rRNA from 1 species
AUGCACGCUGGCGGCGUGCCUAAUACCUGCCAGUCGCGCGAACAGAUAAGGAGCUUGCUCCUUUGACGUUAGCGGCGGACGGGUGAGUUACACGUGGAUAACCUACCUAUAAGACUGGGAUAACUUCGGGAAACCGGAGCUAAUACCGGAUAACAUAUUGAACCGCAUGGUUCAAUAGUGAAAGGCGGCUUUGCUGUCACUUAUAGAUGGAUCCGCGCCGUAUUAGCUAGUUGGUAAGGUAACGGCUUACCAAGGCAACGAUACGUAGCCGACCUGAGAGGGUGAUCGGCCACACUGGAACUGAGACACGGUCCAGACUCCUACGGGAGGCAGCAGUAGGGAAUCUUCCGCAAUGGGCGAAAGCCUGACGGAGCAACGCCGCGUGAGUGAUGAAGGUCUUCGGAUCGUAAAACUCUGUUAUCAGGGAAGAACAAAUGUGUAAGUAACUGUGCACAUCUUGACGGUACCUGAUCAGAAAGCCACGGCUAACUACGUG